rnacentral:rRNA from 1 species
UAGGGAAUAUUAGUAAUGGGCGAAAGUCUGAUCUAGCAACACCGCGUGUGCGAAGAAGGCCUUCGGGUUGUAAAGCACUUUUUGGAAGGAUUAGGAAGGAAUGUACUUCCAGAAUAAGUCUCGGCUAACUACGUGCCAGCAGCCGCGGUAACACGUAGGAGGCAAACGUUAUCCGGAUUUACUGGGCGUAAAGCGCGUGUAGGUGGUUGUUUGCGUCGGAAGUGAAAACCUAGCGCUUAACGCUGGGCUUGCUUUCGAUACGGGAUGACUUGAGGAAGGUAGGGGAGAACGGAAUUCCUGGUGGAGCGGUGGAAUGCGCAGAUAUCAGGAGGAACACCGGUGGCGAAGGCGGUUCUCUGGACCUUUCCUGACGCUGAGGAGCGAAAGCGUGGGGAGCAAACA